rnacentral:tRNA from 1 species
GGGGUUGUAGCUCAGUGGUAGAGCACUCACCUAGCAUGUGUGUAGCACUGAGUUCAAUCCUUAGCACCACA